UACGUAGGGGGCAAGCGUUGUCCGGAAUCAUUGGGCGUAAAGCGCGUGUAGGUGGCCAAGUAGGUCCGCUGUGAAAACUUGAGGCUUAACCUCCAGCUGUCGAUGGAAACCAUCUGGCUAGAGUCCGGAAGAGGAGAGUGGAAUUCCUGGUGUAGCGGUGAAAUGCGCAGAUAUCAGGAAGAACACCCGUGGCGAAGGCGGCUCUCUGGGACGGUACUGACGCUGAGACGCGAAAGCGUGGGGAGCGAACAGG
rnacentral:rRNA from 1 species